rnacentral:rRNA from 1 species
GACAGAGGUGCCGAGCGUUAGGCGGAAUCACUGGGCUUAAAGCGUGUGUAGGCGGCCCGUUAAGUGUCUUGUGAAAUCCCCCGGCUCAACCGGGGAACUGCUGGGCAUACUGGCGGGCUUGGGUCGCUCAGGGGCAGACGGAACAGGCGGUGGAGCGGUGAAAUGCGUAGAUAUCGGGAAGAACACCCGUGGCGAAGGCGGCUCUCUGGGACGGUACUGACGCUGAGACGCGAAAGCGUGGGGAGCGAACAGG